rnacentral:rRNA from 1 species
UACGUAGGGCGCAAGCGUUGUCCGGAAUUAUUGGGCGUAAAGAGCUCGUAGGCGGUUUGUCGCGUCUGCUGUGAAAACCUAAGGCUCAACCUUGGGCUUGCAGUGGGUACGGGCAGACUAGAGUGCGGUAGGGGUGACUGGAAUUCCUGGUGUAGCGGUGGAAUGCGCAGAUAUCAGGAGGAACACCGAUGGCGAAGGCAGGUCUCUGGGCAAUAACUGACGCUGAGGAGCGAAAGCGUGGGGAGCGAACAGG